UGCAGUCGAGCGAACCGAUUAAGAGCUUGCUCUUAAGAAGUUAGCGGCGGACGGGUGAGUAACACGUAGGUAACCUGCCUAUAAGACUGGGAUAACUCCGGGAAACCGGGGCUAAUACCGGAUAACAUUUUGCACCGCAUGGUGCGAAAUUGAAAGGCGGCUUCGGCUGUCACUUAUAGAUGGACCUGCGGCGCAUUAGCUAGUUGGUGAGGUAACGGCUCACCAAGGCGACGAUGCGUAGCCGACCUGAGAGGGUGAUCGGCCACACUGGGACUGAGACACGGCCCAGACUCCUACGGGAGGCAGCAGUAGGGAAUCUUCCGCAAUGGACGAAAGUCUGACGGAGCAACGCCGCGUGAGCGAUGAAGGCCUUCGGGUCGUAAAGCUCUGUUGUUAGGGAAGAACAAGUGCUAGUUGAAUAAGCUGGCACCUUGACGGUACCUAACCAGAAAGCCACGGCUAACUACGUGCCAGCAGCCGCGGUAAUACGUAGGUGGCAAGCGUUAUCCGGAAUUAUUGGGCGUAAAGCGCGCGCAGGUGGUUUCUUAAGUCUGAUGUGAAAGCCCACGGCUCAACCGUGGAGGGUCAUUGGAAACUGGGAGACUUGAGUGCAGAAGAGGAAAGUGGAAUUCCAUGUGUAGCGGUGAAAUGCGUAGAGAUAUGGAGGAACACCAGUGGCGAAGCGCUUCUUGGUCUGCACUGACACUGAGGCGCGAAAGCGUGGGGAGCAACAGAUAGAUACCCUGGGAGUC
rnacentral:rRNA from 1 species